CCUACAUUGUGAUCACAUGGUCGGCUUACAGGUACACUGUUACCUUCCUACAUUGUGAUCACAUGGUCUGCUUACAGGUACACUGUUACCUUCCUACAUUGUGAUCACAUGGUCUGCUUACAGGUACAUUGUCACCUUCCUACAUUGUGAUCACAUGGUUGGCUUACAGGUACACUGUUACCUUCCUACAUUGUGAUCACAUGGUCUGCUUACAGGUACACUGUUACCUUCCUACAUUGUGAUCACAUGGUCGGCUUACAGGUACACUGUUACCUUCCUACAUUGUGAUCACAUGGUCUGCUUACAGGUACAUUGUCACCUUCCUACACUGUGAUCACAUGGUCUCAGAGGCUUUCCUUCUUCACCUUACAUCCCUAGCCUUGCUCUUUAAUUUAAAGAACAAUUACAUUCCUUUAUUUUGUGAGUGUGGAGGCCAGAGACCAACUUUUGAGAGCUGGCUCUCUCUCCUACCGUGUAGAGCAGAAGGGUCGAUCUCAGGCCACUAGGCGUGUCAGCAAGCGCCUAAACCCACUGAGCCAUCUUUAGUCUGCUUUUGCUCUCAGACCCUCUCUCCUUCCUACUGUGAACUAAUCUUGCAGGCGAGCCUGUUUAUCAGGCAUCUGCCCCAGACUAGUCUGUUGGAGACACCA